rnacentral:pre_miRNA from 1 species
AAACUUAAAAAAGCUAAUGUUGGAUUGAAAAAUAGAUACAUGAGAUUCAUCCACAUCAUCACGAGUUAAAAUUUUACGUUGAUUUACUCAAGAGUAAUAAUUUUACUGAAGUAAAUUUUUUACUCUUGGUAACGUGGAUGAAUCUCAGGCGUCCAUUUUUCGAUCCAACGUAGUUUACAGGUUU